UUUUUCCUUUAUCAAAAUGGCCUCCUUCAAAGAGAUCAUAUCAACACUCCCAAGAAGAAAAAGCUGGUAUGGCGAUGAUACUUUUUUGUAUCAAGGCUUUUGGUGUGACACAUUUUUUAUUGAAGGAUUAAUGAGAGCUCAACAAAAUUUUCGAUCUCAACCUCCUGAUAUCGUCAUAUGCAGUGCUAUGAAAACCGGAACAACAUGGUUAAAGUCCCUCACUUUUGCCAUUGUAACAAGAUCCACCUUCGAUGAUUCCACUAACCCUCUAUUUAACAAUCUAUCACAUGAUUGUGUACCCCUUUUAGAGGUUGAUUUAGCCCAAUCUUCCACCAAUCGAGACCCUAAAAAUCCUUUGUUAGCCACACAUGCCCCUCACUGUUCUUUACCAAGAUCAAUAAUUGAUUCUAGUUGUAAAAUUGUUUACAUUUGUAGGGACCCUAAGGAUUCAUUAGUUUCGCUUUAUCACUUCUUUGCUAGGUACUUGGCAUCCAAAGACAUGAAGCCUCCUGCUUUAGAAGAGGCCUUUGAGCUUUUUUGCCAAGGUGUAAGCUCUUACGGACCUUAUUGGGACCAUGUUCUAGGGUUUUGGAAAGCAAGUUUGGACCGACCUGAUAAGAUUCUUUUCUUGAAAUACGAAGAAAUGAUAGAAGAUACUAUUUUAUACGUUAAGAAAAUAGCUGAUUUCAUCGGUUAUCCUUUCUCUUUUGAAGAACUUGAAAAAGGAUCAGUCGAAAAAAUCGUAAACAUGUGUAGUUUCGAGAAUUUAAGCAAUUUGGAAGUGAAUAAAAGCGGAAAACACCGUGAGGGAACUCCAGCGGUGAUUGAAAACAAGAUGUAUUUCCGAAAAGGUAAGGUUGGGGAUUGGGAGAAUUAUUUGACACCUGAAAUGGCUGCUCGGUUGGACUCGAUAACGUUGCAGAAGCUAAAUGGUUCAGGCUUAACUCUAUGAUUGAAUAAUAAAGCAGCCAUGGGGUACAUUUUGCCUUCUCUGCAAUUUCGACAUAUUAUGUUUCUAAAAAUAAAUUGUGUAUGCUUUUUGCAAGUAGCAACACUUCUCGUGUUGUUCAUGUUAAGAUCAAUUAAAAGUAUAGUUGGUUCAAUUGAAAUCGAUUCAAUCAAUAAAAUUUGAUAUAAGUUGAUUUGAUUUUGUUAGUUUAAUAUUUAUGGAUAAACUACACCAACUCUCCUAAGUUUUGUAUAAAAUUACAUUUCAGUUACUCAACUUUCAAAAUUUAUAUCAUAGUCACUGACAUGAUCAAAUUGUUACAUUUUUGUCACUCGACUGUUAACUUUAAAGAAGUAACGUUGCACAUAAAUUCAAAAGGUUAAUAGCUAAUUUGGUCCCUGAACUAUAGUUAAAAAAUUAUUUUCACAUUUAAAUAAUUGUAAAAAAGUAAAAAAAAAAGUCUUAAAAAUAAAAUUCAUAUAAAAAACCAGUUGCAGCGAGAAACAACUAAGAAUUUUGCUACUGUCUUUGCUCUUUUUUUCUUUUUUUUUUUCCUCUCUUUUUUCAUGUAGACCGACGUUGGCUCUUCUCUUCCCAAAUCUUUAAAAAUAAUAUAUAGGUUUUAUUUAUAGCUAAAAGAAAAAUAUUGACUUGAAAAGGUGGGUUUGGAGAAGAAGAAUAGCACUUUGUAUUAUAAAUUUAAAAACAAAAACCCAAUCAGUGUAACACCCCAAACCCAAUCUAGACGUUGUGACCGAAUCUUGAAGGUUACAUUAACUUCUUGAAAAUUUAGAUUGUUAUUUUCUGAAAUUUCGACUUGUUUUUCUGUAAAAAUAAAUUCUUAGUAAAAAACUCGUUUUCACUUAUUAGUUGCAAAAAAAAAAAAAAACACCAUUCUACAAUAACGGUUUCUUUAAAACAUUUGUUCUUUACUCAUAAAUUGAAAUAAUAGAAAUACUGUGAACUCGCUUAUUUUUCAGAAAACUAGAUUUCUCAUUUUGUUUUGCAACGAAAAAACUUUAACUUGUUUAAUUUUGAAAAUAAAACAUUUUUUUUAAUUAACAGAAAUCAUGUAGAAAAUUUAAACUAAUUAACUAAAAAAGCAUAGUUGAUUGAAUAUGUGAAAUGUGAUUAAAAACAACAUGUAAAAGAAAAUGCGAAAUGAUUUAUAUGAGUCCGAAGGAUCGAUAUGAAAGUUAAAAAAAAUCAAUAGAUUUGAUGAUUAAAUGAUAUGAUUAAAUGAUAUUUUUUUUAUAGUGGAAAAAGUAGCAUGGUAUGUUAUAAUGAUUUGCCGAUUUGCAUAAUGUAUGUGUCGAAACAAUUUUUUUUAUAAAACGGGAUCGAUUUUAAUUUUGAAAAUGAAAACGAACAUGGGAGUUGCCACCAAUCCUUUUUAUUUAGGUGUGAUCGGAUCACUUUAUAAUUUAAUCAUUUUAAUAAAAGUUUUAAAUUUACUAAAACGAUAAUUUUUGGUCUACAAAAUCCAGAAAAUGGGUUCGGGAGUCAAUUACGCACGAGGAAGGGUUAGCACGCUCGUAACGCCCAGAAAUUGGUACCUAGUUGAUUAAUUAGUGUCUUAGUGUUGAGGAUUGAAAACUUUGAAGAGUUUUAAAAAUACGAUCCUUAAAAAAAACUCGAAUAACAUGGGUUAGAAUUUAGGAUUCUCUUGUUCUGAAGGAAUAUCACAUCCAGCACGUUAGGAUACAAUACUUUAAACCCUUGAAACCAAGAUUACCUUACGGUUUCCAAAACCCAUAUUUUUGAAAUUUUAAGAGGAUAUUUGGCUAUUUGGUCGAACGAGAAAUCGAAACCCAGCACGUUAGGGCGUGUUUUCUCGAAUUUCCAAACGCAAAAUAUUGUCUUAUUUUAAAACUCUUUUUUUUGAAUAAUAGCGAGUACAACACUUGAACGACAUACAUUUGUUUUAUUUAUGAUAAAACAUAAAAGUUUAUUAUAGGUAUAUACAAAUCGAGCGCAACUUUUAAAGUGAUGAAAUGGAAUGAUAAUGGGGCAUGAAAUAACAACUAACGAAUAAAAUGAUACAUUAAUGCAUGACAAGUAUACGAAAACACGAAUAAAUGAAGCAUAGUUCCCACAAUUACAAUAAGCACAGAACAUAUAACAUUUUAAUACCAACAUUAAUAAUCAAAGGGAAAUAAAGAAAUAAUAUAUGAAAUAAUUUGAAGUAAAUAACAAUAUAAAAUAAGUGAUUUAUAAGAACAAUAAAUAAUAAGGGUUUCAAAUAAACAAUCAAUAGGAAUCUUAAAAUAAAUAAUAACAAAACAGUUUAAAAUAAAUAAAUAAAUAAGGUAUGGAACAGUUUUAAAGAAUAUAUGAAAAUUUGAAAGGCAUAUAUAUACAAUUGAUAAUAUAAAUAUUAUGUAAAACCGUUUAAAACAAAUAAUGUAUGGAACUUAAAAUUAAUAAUGCUAACGAGCCUUCUUUUUUUUAAAAGAAUGAAUAUAAAUUAAAUGGGCCUAGGACGAAAUUGAAUUCGAAUUAAAGAGUCGGGUCUAAAUUAAAAAAAAAGGCUGCCGAGGAUCAAAAUAAGAUGCGCCCGAAGAACGAGGGACUUAUUGGGAAAAUAUUUCCUUCCCUCAUGCGCAAGUUCAACACGGACCAGAUUGGAACGAACGGAAAAUCAUGCGGCCUAAAUAAAAAGACAACAUGGAUUAGAUUGCACCACAGCGCAAAAGCGGAGGGACCCCUCACAUAAAUAGACCCUCCAAGCAAAACACGCGGAUCCUGCUACUGGGUCGGGUCGCGCUUGCGGGUUAAGGGCCAAAACAACGUCGUUUUGGUAACUGAACCCUAACUUACAAAACGGCGCCGUUUAAUAACCUUAUUUAAAUCAAAUUUAAAAAAAAAUCAUUUUUUUAGUGUUUAGAGAAAAAAAAAACUUCAAAAUCUCCCAUAUGUCUCUCUCAACCCCACUUGGCCAGCGUGGGUUCCCUCGGAGAAUCUGCUGCACCACCGCCGUCUGCAACUCUCGACUCAACAAUGUUUGUAUAGUUCCUUUACGUUUUGGUAUAUGACAUGUACUUAAGUUUUGAGUUGGUUUUGUAUCUUGGAUGGUCAUUUGGAAAAUUGGAUAGUUGAUGUCAAUUUGAAUUUAUGAAUAUGAGAUGUUUAAGUUAUCAUGAACAUUAUGUGAUGUUUAAAUGGUUAAGUGGUAUAAACGAUCAUAUGUAUUAAGUUAGAUCUGAGUUGUGAAUGGUUAAAUUGAUAAACAUGAAUGAUAAUGACAUAGCAAAGGUAGUAUAUGAAGUGUUGAUGUAGGUAUUAUGCUUGAACGGAUUGGUUUCGCAUUGGUUAUUUUGGUUAUUAGGUUAGCAUGGAUUGGUUCCAUAUAAACAUUUCAAAACAGCAUGUCAUGUUGUAACAAGAAAUUGAUAGUGAAUGAUGUCGCGACUUGGAAUCUCCCAAGUUGUGACGUCAACUCGAUAGUUUUAACAUUUUAUAUUUUAGUCCUUAAACGACCUUAGGUUAUCGAAAGAGCUUUCGUAUGCUCGUAUAAACCUUGGAUAUGUUUGUUAAUAUGAUAUAAUGAUGUAUUGAUCAUAAUUACAUGUAUAAACUGUUGAAUUGAUAAAAUUUAGAUCGUAGUUGUUCCAACAACGAAUGUGACAUCCCAUAACUUGGACCUGCGAUCAAGUAGGGUAUGGGGUUUACGAGAAAGGUGGGCUUCGAGAAGAAGAAUAGCACUUUGUAUUAUAAAUUUAAAAACAAAAACUCAAUCAGUUUAGUAAAUGGAGUUAGAGAAGAAAUAAUGGGUUUAGAAAAGAAGUAGAGCACUUUGUGUUAUAAAUUAAAUGAAAAAAAAAAUCAAAAAUUUCAAAAAAUUGAAACUUACCAAAGAGUCCAAAUAAAUAUAAUAUAAUACAACAUUUUGCUCUUCUCUCUUGCUCGAUAGGCCGUUGGUGGUAGAAGUUUUUAUGAUUCUCAAGAAUGAAAGCACUGUUACCCAAGCCUUGAUAUUGUUUCCUGAAAAUUCGAGCAGCAACAAUCGGUCUAAUAAUUAUAAUUAGUUAGACUUUUCUAGAUAAUAAAAUACUAUUACGUACCAAUUUUACAAACUACUAACAAUAUAUAUUUGACAGUUAAAAGUUUUUUUUUACAUAAAACGAAUAUUUAGAAAAUUUUAAUGUAUGUCAAUCUUGACAUACAUGAUCUAUAUGAAUGGAGUAUGAAAUAUGACGGUAGGAUUGUUAAAAUAAAAAUUGUAUAAAAAGUUACUAAAUUAUGCAAAACCACUUUAAUUUUACAACCGUGUAAGUGAAUUUCUCCUCUUAUUUUAUUUUUUAAGUAUUAUAUUAAUAAUUUUUAUCUUACAUAUUUUAUUUAUGUUUUCUGGGUACAUGUUUUAUCUUAAGAUUUGUAUAAUUCUUUACACAAUAAUAAUUCAUUUUACAUAGUUAUAAAAAAUCAUUAAUUUUACAUAAAUUUUGAUAUAUUAUUAUAUUUUGGUUUAUGUUUAUUUCUAUGUGACAUGAUAAUUUUAAUUAUUUAAAUUUUUUUUAUCUUCGAAUAAAUUUGUCAAAUAAUUUAAUAUUUAAAUCAUUAUAUAUAGUGUACAAAUCAUAUAAUAAAAAAUUAAUCUAACUUUACGAAGCAUAAUGAGCAGGUAUAUUCUAGUGAUAUAUUAAAUAUAUUAUAUAACUCUUUUACAUACUUUUUUUACCUUCAAAAAGUCAAAUUCUUGAUCAUUUUAGUCUCUUUUUUUAUUAUCAUUUUAGUUUUGAAUCAUCAAAUUUCAAUUAAAUUACCUUUUUUUUGGACGUAAAAGGUUGACCUAACAAGUAAACUUUUAAACGUGAUAGCCUGUAUAGUAGUGCAUGUGUAUUUUAUUGUUGACGUGGAUGAUUAUUUUCAAAACUUUUAUGAACUUUUUGAAUUUUUAUUUUUAUUUAAUUUAUGAAGUAAGCGCGGACUUUCAUGUGUGUCACCAUGUCACUUCCGUUAAAAUUUUAAUAGUCCAAUUAAUUUUUCAGUUCAAAGAAAAACAAUUUAACAAAAAUUUGAAAAUUUAAAACAAACCGAUCCAAAAAAGUAUCAAGACAAAUGCAUUUAAGAAAAGAGAAAUUAUUUGGUAUACUGCCGGUAGAGCUUUUAUACUCCACAAGCAAAAUCAGGGGUUAAUAAGUAUCCUAUAGAAAAUACCAAUUUUUUAAGAUUACUUAUAAAAUAAAAUAAAAAUACACUUCACAGUUCACCCCAAUUAUUGUUAACAAAACCUGAUUCCAAAUCUUUUAAAAUAAUACAAAAAAAUCUAUCAACUAGAUUGUUUAGGGACAAAAUCUUGCAUGGGACAGACCUUGACAAUGGGUAAAUAAGCACUAGCUACAUUUUUUAUUUAUUUAGUCCCUAUAAUUCUAUUUCAAUUCAAGAAAUUACGUGGUGGAUAUAAUAAAAAAAUGUUAUUAAAAGCAAAUAAUUUUCGUCACUAAGUUCACAUGGUUCAAUUACAAAAAAAAUAUUGUGCAAUUGUGAAAGAAAUUACCUUUUCUCUAAAGCUAUUUAUAGACCCAAUUUUUGUCAAAAUAUUUGCACUCAUUUCCCCUUUCUUUUUCCUUUAUGAAAAUGGCCUCCUUCAAAGAGAUUAUAUCAACACUCCCAAGAAGAAAAAGUUGGAAUGACUCAAAUAACGACUUUUUUUUGUAUCGAGGCUUCUGGUGUUACUCGUUUUUCAUUGAAGGAGUGAUGUCGGCUCAACAAAAUUUCCAAUCUCAACCUUCCGAUAUCGUCAUAUGCAGUGCACCGAAAACUGGAACAACAUGGUUAAAGUCCCUCACUUUUGCCAUUGUCACAAGAAUCACCUUCGAUGAUUCCACUAACCCUUUACUUGCCAAUCUAUCACAUGAUUGUGUACCACUUUUAGAGGUUGAUUUAGCCCAAUCUUCCAUCAAUCGAGACCCUAAAAAUCCUUUGUUAGCCACACAUGUCCCUUACUCAUCUUUACCAAGAUCAAUAAUUGAUUCCAGUUGUAAAAUUGUUUACAUUUGUAGGGACCCUAAGGAUUCAUUCGUUUCGUUUUAUCACUUCAUUGCUAGGCGCUUGGCAUCCAAAGACAUAAAGCCCCUUGCUUUAGAAGAGGCCUUUGAGCUUUAUUGCCAAGGUGUAAGCAAUUAUGGACCUUAUUGGGACCAUGUUCUAGGGUUUUGGAAAGCAAGUUUGGACCGACCUGAUAAGAUUCUUUUCUUGAAAUACGAAGAAAUGAUAGAAGAUACUGUUUUAUACGUUAAGAAAUUAGCUGAUUUCAUCGGUUACCCUUUCUCUUCUGAAGAAAUCAAAAAAGGGUCAGUCGACAAGAUCAUAAGCAUGUGUAGCUUCGAGAACUUAAGCAAUUUGGAAGUGAAUAAAAGUGGCAAACACCGUGAAGGAACUCCAGGGGUGAUUGAAAACAAGAUCUAUUUCCGAAAAGGUAAGGUUGGGGAUUGGGAGAAUUAUUUGACACCUGAAAUGGCUUCUCGGUUGGACUCGCUAACGUUACAGAAGCUAAAUGGUUCAGGCUUAACUCUGUGAUUGAAUCAUAAAGCAGCCAUGGGGUACAUUGUCCCUUCUUUGCAAUUUCUGCAUAUUAUGUUUCUAAAAAUAAUUUGUGUAUGCUUUUUGCAAGUAGCAACACUUCUCGUGUUGUUCAUGUUAACAUCAAUAAAAAGCAUAGUUGAUUCAAUAUGUGAAAUGUGAUUAAAAACAACAUGUAAAACACAAUGCGAAUUGGUUUAUAUGAGUCCGGAGGACCGAUAUAAAUUUUUUUAAAAAAUCAAUAGAUUCGAUAUAUAAAUGAUAUGAUUAAAUGAUAUGAAUUGAAAUGAAAAUGAUUGUAUUUUUUUAUAGUGGAAAAAGUAGCAUGGCAUGUUAUAAUGAUUUGUCGAUUUUCAUAAUGUAUGAAUCGAGAUAUAUGACAUGAAGAGAUGAAAUUCAAACGUUUGAAUCUUGAAUAUGUUUUCAUUACAUUUUUGUCGAAUUAAUGUUUAUGUUGGUAUGACUUGAUCAUAAAGGUACUGAUGAUCUUUAUUGUUCAAUGCACACUUUGUUUAUUCCAUGUGAGGUAUUAGUUAAUUUCGAAGACUCGAGGAGUGAUCCAACAUCCGAUCUGCAACUCUCGACUCAACAAUGUUUGUAUAGUUCCUUUACGUUUUGAUAUAUGACAUGUACUUAAGUUUUGAGUUAGUUUUGUAUCUUGGAUGGUCAUUUGGAAAAUUGGAUGGUUGAUGUGAAUUUGAGUUUAUGAAUAUGAAAUGUUUAAGUUAUCAUGAACAUUAUGUGAUGUUUAAAUGGUUAAGUGGUGUAAAUGGUCAUAUAUAUUAAGUUAGGUUUGAGUUAUGAAUGGUUAAAUUGAUAAACAUGAAUGAUAAUGACAUAGCAAAGGUAGUAUAUGAAGUGUUUGAUGUAGGUAUUAUGCUUGAAUGGAUUGGUUUCGCAUUGGUUAUUUUGGUUAGGUUUGUAUGGAUUAGUACCAAAUAAACAUUUCAAAACAGUAUGUCACGUUGUAACGAGAAAUCAAUAGUGAAUGAUGUCGCGACUUGGAAUCUCCCAAGUCGUGACGUCAACUCGAUAGUUUUAACAUUUUAUAUUUUAGUCCUUAAACGACCUUAGGUUAUCGAAAGAGCUGUCGUAUGCUCGUAUAAACCUUGGAUAUGUUUGUAUAAUAAGAUAUAAUGAUGUAUUGAUCAUAAUUACAUGUAUAAACUGUUGAAUUGAUAAAAUUUAGAUCGUAGUUGUUCUAACAACAAAUGUGAUAUCCCAUAGCUUGGACCUGUGAUCAAGUUGGGUAUGGGGUGUUACUAGAAAGGUGGGUUUGGAGAAGAAGAAUAGCACUUUGUAUUAUAAAUUUAAAAACAAAAACUCAAUCAGUAUAGUAAAUGGAGUUAGAGAAGAAAUAAUGGGUUUAGAAAAGAAGUAGAGUACUUUGUAUUAUAAAUUACAAGAAAAAAAUCUAAAAUUUCAAAAAAUUGAAACUUACCAAAGAAUCCAAAUAAAUAUAAUAUAAUACAACAUUUUGCUCUUCUCUCUUGCUCGAUAGGCCGUUGGUGGUAGAAGUUUUUAUGAUUCUCAAGAAUGAAAGCACUGUUACCCAAGCCCUGAUUUUGUUUCCUGGAAAUUCGAGCAGCAACAAUCGGUCUAAUAAUUAUAAUUAGUUAGACUUUUCUAGAUAAUAAAAUACUAUUACAUACCAAUUUUAUAAACUACUAACAAUAUAUAUUUGACAGUUAAAAGUUUUUUUUACAUAAAAUGAAUAUUUAGAAAAAUUUAAUUACGUCAACGUUAACAUACAUGAUCUAUAUGAAUGGAGUAUGAAAUAUGACGGUGGGAUUGUUAAAAUAUUAAUUGUAUAAAAAGUUACUAAAUUAUGCAAAACCACUUUAAUUUUACACCGUGUAAGUGAAUCUCUCCUCUUAUUUUAUUUUUUAAGUAUUAUAUUAGUAAUUUUUAUCUUACAUAUUUUAUUUAUGUUUUCUGGGUACAUGUUUUAUCUUAAGAUUUGUAUAAUUCUUUACACAAUAAUAAUUCAUUUUACAUAGUUAUAAAAAAUCAUUAAUUUUACAUAAAUUUUGAUAUAUUAUUAUAUUUUGAAUUUAUGUUUAUUUCUAUGUGACAUGAUAAUUUUAAUUAUUGAAAUUUUUUAUCUUCGAAUAAUUUUGUCAAAUAAUUUAAUAAUUAAAUAAUUAUAUAUAGUGUACAAAUCAUAUUAAAAAAUUAAUCUAACUUUACGAAGCAUAAUGAGCAGGUAUAUUCUAGUGAUAUAUUAAAUAUAUUAUAUAAUUUACAUAUUUUUUUUACCUUCAAAAAGUCAAAUUCUUGAUCAUUUUAGUCUUUUUUUUUUAUCAUUUUAGUUUUGAACCAUCAAAUUUCAAUUUUUUUUGACGUAAAAGUAGAACUACAAUUAAAAUUUUAACGUGAUUAAUGUGGUAGCCUGUAUAGUAGUGCAUGUAUACUUUAUUGUUAACAUGGAUGAUUAUUUUCAAAACUUUUAUGAACUUUUUGAAUUUUUAUUUUUAUUUAAUUUAUGAAGUAAGCGUGAAUUUUCAUGUGUGUCACCACGUUACUCCCGUUAAAAUUUUAAUAGUCCAAUUAUUUUUUCAGUUCAAAGAAAAACAAUUUAACAAAAAUUUGAAAAUUUAAAACAAACCGAUCCAAAAAAGUAUUAAGACAAAUGCAUUUAAGAGAAGAGAAAUUAUUUCGUACAUUGUCGAUAAAGCUUUUAUACUUCACAAGCAGAAUCAGAAGUUAAUAAGUAUCUUAUAGAGAUAUUAUAAAAUAUUAAUUUUUUAAAAUUACUUAUGAAAUAAAAAAAAUACACUUCACCCAAAUUAGUGUAAGAAAAAUAAUACAAAACUUGAUUCCAAAUCUUUUAAAAUAAUACAAAAAAAUCUAUCAACUAGAUUGUUUAGCGACAAAAUCAUGCAUGGGACAGACCUUGACAAUGGCUAAAUAAGCACUAGCUACAUUAUUUAUUUAUUUAGUCCCUAUAAUUCUGUUCCAAUUCAAGAAAUUUCGUGGUGGAUAUAAUAAAAAAAUUGUUGUUAAAAGCAAAUAAUUUUCGUCACUAAGUUCACAUGGUUCAAUUACAAAAAAAAUUAGUGUAAUUGUGAAAGAAAUUACCUUUUCUCUAAAGCUAUUUAUAGACCCAAUUUUUGUCAAAAUAUUUGCACUCAUUUCCCCUUUCUUUUUCCUUUAUGAAAAUGGCCUCCUUGAAAGAGAUUAUAUCAACACUCCCAAGAAGAAAAGGCUGGAAUGACUCAGAUAACGACCUUUUUUUGUAUCGAAGCUUCUAUUAUUACUCGUUUUUCAUUGAAGGAGUGAUGUCGGCUCAACAAAAUUUCCAAUCUCAACCUUCCGAUAUCAUCAUAUGCAGUGCAUCGAAAACUAGAACAACAUGGUUAAAGUCCCUCACUUUCGCCAUUGUCACAAGAACCACCUUCGAUGAUUCCACUAACCCUUUACUUACCAAUCUAUCACAUGAUUGUGUACCCCUUUUAGAGGUUGAUUUAGCCCAAUCUUCCACCAAUCGAGACCCUAAAAAUCCUUUGUUAGCCACACAUGUCCCUUACUCUUCUUAAUUACCAAGAUCAAUAAUUGAUUCCAGUGGUAAAAUUGUUUACAUUUGUAGGGACCCUAAGGAUUCAUUCGUUUCGCUUUAUCACUUCAUUGCUAGGUGAUUGGCAUCCAAAGACAUGAAGCCCCUUGCUUUAGAGGAGGCCUUUGAGCUUUAUUGCGGAGGUGUAAGCUUUGGGACCAUGUUCUAUGGUUUUGGAAAGCAAGUUUGGACCGACCUGAUAAGAUUCUUUUCUUGAAAUACGAAGAAAUGAUAGAAGAUACUAUUUUAUACAUUAAGAAAAUAGCUGAUUUCAUCGGUUAUCCAUUCUCUUUUGAAGAAAUUGAAAAAGGAUCAGUCGAAAAAAUUGUAAACAUGUGUAGUUUCGAGAAUUUAAGCAAUUUGGAAGUGAAUAAAAGCGGAAAACACCGUGAGGGAACUCCAGGGGCGAUUGAAAACAAGAUCUUUUUUCGAAAAGGUAAGGUUGGGGAUUGGGAGAAUUAUUUGACACCUGAAAUGGCUGCUCGGUUGGACUCGAUAACGUUACAGAAGCUAAAUGGUUCAGGCUUAACUCUAUGAUUGAAUCAUAAAGCAGCCAUGGGGUAUAUUGUCCCUUCUUUGCAAUUUCGACAUAUUAUGUUUCUAAAAAUAAUUUGUGUAUGCUUUUUGCAAGUAGCAACACUUCUCGUGUUGUUCAUGUUAAGAUCAAUAAAAAGUAUAGUUGGUUCAAUUGAAAUCGAUUCAAUCAAUAUAAUUUUAUAUAAGUGAUUUGAUUUUGUUAGUUUAAUAUUUAUGGAUAAACUACACCAACUCUCCUAAGUUUUGUAUAAAAUUACAUUUCGGUUACUCAACUUUCAAAAUUUAUAUCAUAGUUAUUAACAUUAUCAAAUUGUUACAUUUUUGUCAUUGGGCUGUUAACUUCUGUUAAAGAAGUAACGUUGCACCUUAAUUCAGAAGGUUAAUAGCUAAUUUGGUCCCUGAACUAUAGUUAAAAAAUUAUUUUAAUUAUUUUAAUUUUUUUUAUCUUCGAAUAAUUUUGUCAAAUAAUUUAAUAAUUAAAUCAUUAUUUAUAGUGUACAAAUCAUAUUAAAAAAUUAAUCUAACUUUACGAAGCAUAAUGAGCAGGUAUAUUCUAGUGAUAUAUUAAAUAUAUGAUAUAACUCUUUUACAUACUUUUUUUACCUUCAAAAAGUCAAAUUCUUGAUCAUUUUAGUCGCUUUUUUUUUUAUCAUUUUAGUUUUGAAUCAUCAAAUUUCAAUUAAAUUACCUUUUUUUUUUGGACGUAAAAGGUUCCCUAACAAGUAAAAUUUUAACGUCAUUGACAUGGUAGACUGUAUAGUAGUGCAUGUGUAUUUUAUUGUUGACGUGGAUGAUUAUUUUCAAAACUUUUAUGAACUUUUUAAAUUUUUAUUUUUAUUUAAUUUAUGAAGUAAGCAUGGACUUUCAUGUGUGUCACCAUGUCACUUUCGUUAAAAUUUUAAUAGUCCAAUUAAAUUUUCAGUUCAAAGAAAAACAAUUUAACAAAAAUUUGAAAAUUUAAAACAAACCGAUCCAAAAAAGUAUUAAGACAAAUGCAUUUAAGAAAAGGGAAAUUAUUUGGUGCAUUGCCGGUAGAACUUUUAUACUCCACAAGUAGAAUUAGGGGUUAAUAAGUAUCCUAUAGAGAUAUAGUAAAAUAUUAUUUUUUUAAGAUUACUUAUAAAAUAAAAAAAUACACUUCACCCCAAUUACCGUAAAAAAAAAUACAAAACUUGAUUCCAAAUCUUGCUCUUUUAAAAAAAUUUUGACUUCACCCCGAUGUGCUAAAAGUGUUUUAAUUAGAUCCUAGACUCAAUAGAUUAAACUCGUUUAGUGGAGUUUUAUCAUUCAUGUUAUAUAAGUCAUUCUAAAAAAAAAAAAACCCUAUAAAAAGGAUCAUCUUUAAGUCAUUCAAUACAACUUCAAAAGUGCAUAAAAUAUCAAAAUCUGAACAGAAGAUUUUGAUGACUAGAAGUUGUUUCUUAAAAUCCUAAAAAAUUGAAAAACUUAAAUAAAUUCUAAAGAAUGUCACAUCUUUUUGAUACAAUGACUAAGACUACCUAUAGCCACCCUCAACACUUAAACAGAGGGAUAAUAAGCUUUAGUACACUUGAAUUCAAGUUCUCCCCAACCCAAAUAUAAAAAAUAAAACCCAAACCCAAAUUAAUAUUUAUAAAUUUAUAGUCCCAACUUUAUAUAAUUUAGUUAUAAGUUUAAUGUAUAUUAUAUACAUAAUACAUAAAUAAUUUAAUUAAAAACCUAAAUCCUGCCUCAUUUACCAAUUCCCAAAUCUGAAAUUCCUAUCCCAAAACCUUGCACCAUUUACACUGCCAUCAGCCCCUCCUCGACUGUCACCUACUACUGCAGGCCACACGACCACACCCGUCCAGCGUCCACCACCAGCAAGCAAUUGAAAGCAAAGUAGCAAGGAUAAUGCGGCCAUGGAAGGCAAGAAUUGAAGACAAAGAAGAAAAGGAAAGGAAAGCAAGCUUUAUCACGUAAUAGAAGGUUUGAAUGUUUAAAAGAGAUUUCUCAUGCAAUUUGGUUGGAUUAAUUAGGUUAAUCUCUAAUUUUUGGUUUAUUUGAUUAUUGUUAUAAAAAAAUUGAAUCGAUUUAGUGCACACCUUAUUUUUUUUUCACCUUCUAUAUUCUUUCAUGAUCUUAUUGAUUCGACCAUAAAUUUUUUUUAUGAUAUGGAAUAAAAUUCUAAUCUAUUAGAUGUGAAUUGCUCUAAUCUAAGCAUAAUUAUUGUACAAUUUUGUUAAAAAAAUGAAACUAUAUAUUUUGAAAUAAUUAUGAAUAUAUUAAUAUUAGUCUGUUGAUGUGAACAAUUAUUUUUAAAACUUUUAUAAGAUUUUUUAUUUUUUAAUUUUAAAAAGUACACACGUUCUUUUAUUCGAGUUAUCAUGUUACUUUCAUUAAAAUAGUACAAUUAAUUUUUGUGUAAAAUUUAAAAUACACUUCACCUUUAAAAAAUAAAAAAAUGCAUAGGACAGCACUAACUACAUUUAUUUAUUAAUUUAGUUCCUAUAACUCUACUCCAAUUCAAGAAAUCACGUGGUGGACAUAAUAAAAAACUGAUAUUAAAAGCAAAUAAUUCUCCACACUAAGAUCACAUGGUUGAAUUAAAAAAAGUUGAUUGCGUAAUUGUGAAAGAACUUACCUUCUCUCUGAAGCUAUUUAUAGAUCCAAUUUUUGUCAAAAUACUUGCACUCAUUUCUCCUUUCGUUUUUCCUUUAUCAAAAUGGCCUCCUUCAAAGAGAUCAUCUCAACACUCCCAAGAAGAAAAGGCUGGACUGACUCAAAUAACGACCUUUUUUUGUAUCGAGGCUUCUGGUGUUACUCGUUUUUCAUUGAAGGAGUGAUGUCGGCUCAACAAAAUUUUCAAUCUCAACCUUCCGAUAUCGUCAUAUGCAGUGCACCGAAAACUGGAACAACAUGGUUAAAGUCCCUCACUUUCGCCAUUGUCACAAGAACCACCUUCGAUGAUUCCACUAGCCCUUUACUUGCCAAUCUAUCACAUGAUUGUGUACCCUUUUUAGAGGUUGAUUUAGCCCAAUCUUCUACCAAUCGAGACCCUAAAAAUCCUUUGUUAGCCACACAUGUCCCUUACUCUUCUUUACCAAGAUCAAUAAUUGAUUCCAGUUGUAAAAUUGUUUACAUUUGUAGGAACCCUAAGGAUUCAUUCGUUUCGUUUUAUCACUUCAUUGCUAGGCUCUCGGCAUCCAAAGACAUGAAGCCCGUUGCUUUAGAAGAGGCCUUUGAGCUUUAUUGCCAAGGUGUAAGCAAUUAUGGACCUUAUUGGGACCACGUUCUAGGGUUCUGGAAAGCAAGUUUGGACCGACCUGAUAAGAUUUUUUUCUUGAAAUACGAAGAAAUGAUAGAAGAUACUGUUUUAUACAUUAAGAAAUUAGCUGAUUUCAUCGGUUAUCCUUUCUCUUCUGAAGAAAUCAAAAAAGGGUCAGUCGACAAGAUCGUAAGCAUGUGUAGUUUCGAGAACUUAAGCAAUUUGGAAGUGAAUAAAAGUGGCAAACAUCGUGAAGGAACUCCAGGGGUGAUUGAAAACAAGAUCUAUUUCCGAAAAGGUAAGGUUGGGGAUUGGGAGAAUUAUUUGACACCUGAAAUGGCUGCUCAGUUGGACUCGAUAACGUUACAGAAGCUAAAUGGUUCAGGCUUAACUCUGUGAUUGAAUCAUAAAGCAACCAUGGGGUACAUUGUCCCUUCUCUGCAAUUUCGACAUAUUGUGUUUCUAAAAAUAAUUUGCGUAUGCUUUUUGCAAGUAGCAACACUUCUCGUGUUGCUCAUGUUAAGAUCAAUAAAAAGUAUAGUUGGUUCAAUUGAAAUCGAUUCAAUUAAUAUAAUUUGAUAUAAGUGAUUUGAUUUUGUUAUUUUAAUUUUUAUGGAUAUACUACACCAACUGUCCUAAGCUUUGUAUCAAAAUUACAUUUCGGUUACCCAACUUUUAAAAUUUAUAUCAUAGUCACUAACAUUAUCAAAUUGUUACAUUUUUGUCACUCGACUACUGUUAACUUCUGUUAAAGAAGUAACGUUGCACCUUAAUUCAGAAGGUUAAUAGUUAAUUUGGUACCUGAACUAUAGUUAAAAAAUUAUUUUCAUAUUUAAAUUUUUUUUUACAAUAAUUGUAAAAAAGUAAAAAAAAGUCUUAAAAAUAAAAUUCAUAUAAACAAGAAACAACUAAGAAUUUUGCUACUGUCUUUGCUCUCUCUCUCUUUUUUUUUUUUCUCUUUUUUCAUGCAAGUCAACGUUGGCUCCGCUCUUCCCUAAUCUUUAAAAAUAAUAUAUAUAUAGGUUUUAUUUAUAGCUAAAAGUAAAAUAUUGACUUGAAAUUUGAGAGAAGAAAGGUGGGUUUGGAGAAGAAGAAUAGCACUUUGUAUUAUAAAUUUAAAAACGAAAACCCAAUCAGUGUAACACCCCAAACCCAACCUAGACAUUAUGGCUGAAUCUUGAAGGUUACAUUAACUUCUUGAGAAUUUAGAUUGUUAUUUUCUGAAAUGUCAACUUGUUUUUCUGUAAAAGUAAAUUCUUAUAAAAAAACACGUUUUCACUUAUUAGUUGCAAAAAAAAAAAAAAUCCAUUCUACAAUAAGGGUUUCUUUAAAACAUUUGUUCUUUAGUACUAAAUUGAAAUAAUAGACCUAUAGUGAACUCGCUUAUUUUUCAGAAAAUUAGAUUUCUCAUUUUGUUUUGCAGUGGAAAAACUUUUACUUGUAUAAUUUUGAAAAUCGAACAUUUUUUUUAAUUAACAGAAAUCAUGUAGAAAAUUUAAACUAAUUAACUAAAAACUGAACAAAACCCAAAUCCAAAAUAAAAGUUCAAAAAUUAGUUCGACAGUCCAAAAGUCCAUAAAUUUUAAUUAAUAAUUAUUUAAAAUGAUCUUAUGCAAGAAAACUAAUACGAGCUCCCGAGUGCCGCCCAAUCCUAAUCCCGUGGGUUACCUGAAAUAUUAAGCAAGUGGGUGAGCUAAAAAGCUCAGUGUGUGCCUUACUCUACCCGUAAACAUGGACAAAUAACUCUACCAGUAAACAAUUCUACUAGUUGAAACAUGGAAAACACAACAAACAUAAUUUUGACCAACAUAAAGCCCACCAAUUUAAAUGACCCAAUCACCCUUCAAAAACCUAUCAAUACCUUCAUCUACUUAGCUUAAAAUUAGAUCAUCUAAAUUCCAAAUUAAGGCCACUCAAUGCAUAAGGUUGAUUUUAAAGGAGUUUUAUAGAUGUGAUUUAAAAGCACUAAAAUCACAUGGAUGAAUUACAAAAAUUUUACUGUGUACUCGUGAAAUAAAGUAACUUUAUUUACAUAGACCAAUUUUUAUUAAAAUAUUUGCACUCAUAUCCCUUUUUGGUUUAUUUGAUUAUUGUUAUAAAAAAAUUGAAUCGAUUUAGUGCACACUUUAUUUUUUUUUCACCUUCUAUUUUUUUUCAUGAUCUUAUUGAUUCGACCAUAAAAUUUUUUUAUGAUAUGGAAUAAAAUUCUAAUCUAUUAGAUGUGAAUUGCUCUAAUCUAAGCAUAAUUAUUGUACAAUUUUGUUAAAAAAAUACUUUAUUUUAUGAAACUAUAUAUUUUGAAAUAAUUAUGAAUAUAUUAAUAUUAGUCUGUUGAUGUGAACAAUUAUUUUUAAAACUUUUAUAAGAUUUUUUAUUUUUUAAUUUUAAAAAGUACACACGUUCUUUUAUUUGAGUUAUCAUGUUACUUUCAUUAAAAUAGUACAAUUAAUUUUUGUGUAAAAUUUAAAAAUGCACUUCACCUUUUAAAAAUAAAAAAAUGCAUAGGACAGCACUAACUACAUUUAUUUAUUAAUUUAGUUCCUGUAAUUCUACUCGAAUUCAAGAAAUCACGUGGUGGACAUAAUAAAAAACUGAUAUUAAAAGCAAAUAAUUCUCCACACUAAGAUCACAUGGUUGAAUUAAAAAAAGUUGAUUGCGUAAUUGUGAAAGAACUUACCUUUUCUCUAAAGCUAUUUAUAGAUCCAAUUUUUGUCAAAAUACUUGCACUCAUUUCUCCUUUUGUUUUUCCUUUAUCAAAAUGGCCUCCUUCAAAGAGAUCAUCUCAACACUCCCAAGAAGAAAAGGCUGGACUGACUCAAAUAACGACCUUUUUUUGUAUCAAGGCUUCUGGUGUUACUCGUUUUUCAUUGAAGGAGUGAUGUCGGCUCAACAAAAUUUUCAAUCCCAACCUUCCGAUAUCGUCAUAUGCAGUGCACCGAAAACUGGAACAACAUGGUUAAAGUCCCUCACUUUCGCCAUUGUCACAAGAACCACCUUCGAUGAUUCCACUAGCCCUUUACUUGCCAAUCUAUCACAUGAUUGUGUACCCUUUUUAGAGGUUGAUUUAGCCCAAUCUUCUACCAAUCGAGACCCUAAAAAUCCUUUGUUAGCCACACAUGUCCCUUACUCUUCUUUACCAAGAUCAAUAAUUGAUUCCAGUUGUAAAAUUGUUUACAUUUGUAGGAACCCUAAGGAUUCAUUCGUUUCGUUUUAUCACUUCAUUGCUAGGCUCUCGGCAUCCAAAGACAUGAAGCCCGUUGCUUUAGAAGAGGCCUUUGAGCUUUAUUGCCAAGGUGUAAGCAAUUAUGGACCUUAUUGGGACCAUGUUCUAGGGUUCUGGAAAGCAAGUUUGGACCGACCUGAUAAGAUUCUUUUCUUGAAAUACGAAGAAAUGAUAGAAGAUACUGUUUUAUAUGUUAAGAAAUUAGCUGAUUUCAUCGGUUAUCCUUUCUCUUCUGAAGAAAUCAAAAAAGGGUCAAUCGACAAGAUCGUAAGCAUGUGUAGU
rnacentral:lncRNA from 1 species